UAUUUAUUUACAAUAGCAUAAUGUAAUGUUUUAUAAAAAUACAAUAAUACAUACUUUAAAAAAUGUCUUAUGAUAAUACGAUAAAAGAUAAAGAUAUAAUAUAUAUUUAUUUUUAUUUCGGCGCUGAUCAUGUGACGUAGAACUGUGUAUAGGGUAUCCUGAUUGGCUCCCGCGUAGACCAGUGAAAGAGAAGAGCGCGAGGGGAAACAUGGAGGACAGUGAAGCAAACAGUCCCACCGCAGCUUGAUAAACCAAACCAGGGAACAAACGAUGUCAUGUAGUGUGAAUCAUUUAGGCUCUGUUAAUGUAUUUAUUUUAAAAGACUAAUUGAUGAAAACGUCGAGUGUCUCUUGUAGCGUGGUCAAACCAAGUGGAAUGUCACUCAGUGCAUCGUGUGAAUCGGAUUCCCAGAAGAGGACUGUGUCGAACCUCCUCGCUGGCCGUGUGCUGAAGAGGCCGAAGCAGGAAGAUGAACAGCAGCAGCAGGAGGCAACGAUCCAGCUGCUGGGGCAGCAGCAGAACCUCUGCAGUCUGCUCAGGGAGGUUGGGAAUCCAGAGCUGUGUAACAUUUUUCGCUCUCAGAUUGGAGAGCAGAAACAGUCGAAAGGAGCCUCAUGUGCCAUUGCUCGAUCAUUGCUGGUGUGUGAGCUGAGGCGGCAGGCAUUGCAGCUGGGUGUCCCUAUGGCAGUGCUGGCAGUGAAGAUGGUACUGGAGAGACUGAUGGAGAUCACUGGAACUGAGGAUGAAAAGGAAGAAGAGGACAAGAGGAGAGGGCUGCUCACCUGCUCUCAGCGAGUAAGUGUCUGACUGUAUGUUUUGACUCAUUGUUUUGUGGCUGAACCCUCAUGCAAAUAUAAAAACAAGCCCCCAGACAAUAGUAAACCUAUGGUUAACUG
rnacentral:lncRNA from 1 species